rnacentral:rRNA from 1 species
AUUGAACGCUGGCGGCAUGCUUUACACAUGCAAGUCGAACGGUAACAGGCCUGCGGGUGCUGACGAGUGGCGAACGGGUGAGUAAUGCAUCGGAACGUGCCCAGAGGUGGGGGAUAACGCAGCGAAAGCUGUGCUAAUACCGCAUGUGAUCUGAGGAUGAAAGCGGGGGACCAGGCAGCAAUGUUUGGCCUCGCGCCUUUGGAGCGGCCGAUGUCAGAUUAGGUAGUUGGUGGGGUAAAGGCCUACCAAGCCGACGAUCUGUAGCUGGUCUGAGAGGACGACCGGCCACACUGGGACUGAGACACGGCCCAGACUCCUACGGGAGGCAGCAGUGGGGAAUUUUGGACAAUGGGCGCAAGCCUGAUCCAGCAAUGCCGCGUGCGGGAAGAAGGCCUUCGGGUUGUAAACCGCUUUUGUACGGAACGAAAAGGCUCUGGCUAAUACCUGGGGCUGAUGACGGUACCGUAAGAAUAAGCACCGGCUAACUACGUG